GGAAGACGGAUGGCAGGGAAACUUGCUGACAAAAGAUGGCUUGCAGUUGCGUCAGAAAUCACAAAGCAACCGCACCAGGCGCCAUGUUGGAAGACCAAAGUCAGUCUGUUGGAAGUCCUCCAAUCAUCCACAUGGCUGGCUUUGUUUUGCUACCACCGGAAACUUCGGGAAGAUUGCACAUUAUUGUGUUUUUCUAAGGACCCAGAAAACAGAGGCAGUGGGAGAACCUAUUCAAAGAGAAGUUAGACCCUGUCUCCAGAUGAAGAGGUCCUAAUGAAUGUCCCAAGAGAAUAAGGAUUGGAAUGUCCACAGGGCAAUGUGUUCUCCAUUGAACGGACAAAGAGACGCCUUCAAGACCACUUAGUGGAACACAAGUACACCAUACGGGAUAAUGACCCAAAACACACCUCCAGGCUGUGUAAGGGCUAUUUGACCAAUAAGGUGAUGGAGUGAUGGAGUGCUGCAUCAGAUGAC
rnacentral:lncRNA from 1 species